CUCUUCUACAGAUACCAAGUGAAAGCCUCAUUCCCCCUUCCUCUCACUCUGUCCUCUAAAAGAUACCUGUCAUUGGAUUUAGGGCACCCCUGAUACUCCAAGAUGAUCGCCUCAGCCCAAGAUCCUUAACGAUGACACCAACAGAGCUUUUUGCCAAAUAAGCUGGCUUCCAGGAGGGCUGAAACAGAAGCUGCAGAGCCUGUCAAAGCCCAGGCCCAGACGUUCCAGAACACUACUUCCACCGCAUUCUGUUGGUCAAGGCAGGUCACAGGGCCCACCCAGAUUCAGGGGGAGGGAAGACAGAAUCCCCCUCUUGAUGGAGGUGCCAUAGGGCGUGCACCAUGGGCCGGUGGUUGUGGCCAUCGUUGGAAACAACCAAUCAGAGUGU
rnacentral:lncRNA from 1 species